rnacentral:misc_RNA from 1 species
CGGGUAAUCCUACCCUGCAUUGAGUCAACUUGUUUGUUAUAUUGUAAGGCCGAGCCUAGAAUACCGAGAAAUAUACCAUUAAACUAUUCAACGAGUUGGAUAAACCUAAUACAUUGAAAGUCAUAUAGCACUAUCCAGUACCACUCAUGCCAAUACAUUUCAAGCAAACGCCUAGUUCAACUAAGAGUAUCACUCAAUACCAAACCCGAAGGUUUGAGAGAGAAAUGACGCUCAAACAGGCAUGCCCUCUGGAAUACCAGAGGGCGCAAUGUGCGUUCAAAGAUUCGAUGAUUCACGAAAAUCUGCAAUUCAUAUUACUUAUCGCAUUUCGCUGCGUUCUUCAUCGAUGCGAGAACCAAGAGAUCCGUUGUUGAAAGUUUUGAAGAUUUUUUGAAUUUAAUCAACAAAUUGACAAUUAAAUAAAUAACAAUUCAAUAUAAAUAUUGAAGUUUAGUUCAGUAAACCUCUGGCCCAAACUAUUUCUAGUCCAGACCAAAGCAAAAGUUCUUGUAAUAACAAAAAAACACUGUGUGUAAGUUUUUUCGCCGCGCAAUUAAGCGCUGGCAAAAAGAAUACUGUAAUGAUCCUUCCGCAGGUUCACCUACGGAA